rnacentral:lncRNA from 1 species
GCUACGAGGACAAUCAAUGCAUAUGGCACACAAUGACCUAUACUUGAUAUCGCUAUCAUCUUAAUAAUAGCGUAUCGUUUGGUCGUGAACCAGUUUAAGAACUACACAAUCAAUCCUCCUUUAUCGAUUAAAGUAAUCCUAAGGACUUCAUCACAACAUAGAAGUUCAUUAGAAGAUGUAACCUUAUGAUGAAAAAGUCUAAAUAACUUUUAUUAU